GACGAACGCUGGCGGCGUACCUAAUACAUGCAAGUUGAGCGCUGAAGGUUGGUACUUGUACCAACUGGAUGAGCAGCGAACGGGUGAGUAACGCGUGGGGAAUCUGCCUUUGAGCGGGGGACAACAUUUGGAAACGAAUGCUAAUACCGCAUAAAAACUUUAAACACAAGUUUUAAGUUUGAAAGAUGCAAUUGCAUCACUCAAAGAUGAUCCCGCGUUGUAUUAGCUAGUUGGUGAGGUAAAGGCUCACCAAGGCGAUGAUACAUAGCCGACCUGAGAGGGUGAUCGGCCACAUUGGGACUGAGACACGGCCCAAACUCCUACGGGAGGCAGCAGUAGGGAAUCUUCGGCAAGGGACGAAAGUCUGACCGAGCAACGCCGCGUGAGUGAAGAAGGUUUUCGGAUCGUAAAACUCUGUUGGUAGAGAAGAACGUUGGUGAGAGUGGAAAGCUCAUCAAGUGACGGUAACUACCCAGAAAGGGACGGCUAACUACGUG
rnacentral:rRNA from 1 species